UACGGAGGGUGCAAGCGUUAUCCGGAUUCACUGGGUUUAAAGGGUGCGUAGGCGGGCAUGUAAGUCCGUGGUGAAAUCUCUGAGCUUAACUCAGAAACUGCCAUGGAUACUAUAUGUCUUGAAUAUUGUGGAGGUGAGCGGAAUAUGUCAUGUAGCGGUGAAAUGCUUAGAUAUGACAUAGAACACCCAUUGCGAAGGCAGCUCACUACACAAUGAUUGACGCUGAGGCACGAAAGCGUGGGGAGCGAACAGG
rnacentral:rRNA from 1 species